AUGGUAGCUCAUGUGGGAGAUUUUGGACUUGCACGGUUGCAUGUCCAUCCUGCAUCCUCAUCAUUUGGUGACUCAACUUCGACUUCUUCGGUUGCGAUAAAGGGAACAAUAGGAUAUGUUGCUCCAGAAUUUGCAGGGGGUGGUCAAGUUUCAGCCACCGCCGAUGUUUACAGCUUCAGGGUUGUUCUCCUUGAAAUAUUCACCCGAAGGAGGCCAACGGAUGACAUGUUCAAGGAUGGAUUGAGCAUCAUGAAGUUCGUGGAGAUUAACUUACCUGACAAGAUGUUGCAGAUUAUUGAUCCAGAGCUGGUACAAGACCUGGACCUCUGCCAAGAAGCUCCAAUGGCCGAGGACAUUGGAUCACACUGUUUGAUCUCAGUGCUGAAUGUUGGGAUGCACCAAGUCGUCUCCAAGUGA
rnacentral:rRNA from 1 species